GGGACGGAUCGCGCGCGGCUCCGGGAGGAGUCGGGUGGGACGGCCUCUCAUCCACACACCCCGCCCACACCUCCGCCCCGGAGAAGCGUUAACCCGUCUCCGCGGCGGUGGGCGGUGCGCGGGGCUUCCGGGUUCUUCGGCGCUAAGCACGGCUCACGUGCGGCGCCGCUUUCCCGCCGCAGCCAGCUGUGUUCCGCUCGUCCCGCGGAACGCCGGGCACGGGUGGGCCGGCGGGGUCGCUCCCAGGCCCAGUUUCCGAAACGUGCGCGAAAGGAGUCAGGGCUAGCUCCCCCUUUCUGCUACCCGGACCGCACUACGAGUCCCAGCGGGCAGCGCCGCCACGCGCGUCGGCCACCGAAGCGGUGCCUGCUGGGAGCUGGAGUCCCCAACGGCCGCGGUUCGCUGACCCCAACUGGCCGCGGGUCUUGCCUCCCGCUCGGCGAACCCCAACCGUCCUGGCGCUGAACCCUGGAAACCAACCAGGUAUGAACAACUUCCUUCUAGAAAUCUUUCUUUGAGCUCAUUCAUAGGUUGAGCAAGAAAAUGUAUUAAUGCUAAAUGGUGGAUAACUGCCUAUGUCCUCACAAAUGUCCAUUGAAUGAUUGCAGUGACAGAAUUAUGUGUUCAGAGAUGUUCAGCACAUUUGAAUCCCUAAAGCUACUUGUGCCUGCCAUGAUAUGCCGUCUGCGAAGUGAUGCUGCCUAUGUAGUAAUGGUCAAAACCGUGGGACCACCCUGUGGGAAGUGGAAACAAAGCAAGAAGGCAAACCAUUUCCUUUUCAAAGACAGUGCUUGGAAUUUGAAUGCAUCACGUCUGCUGCUGACGUUGUAUUGGCUGGAACCUAGUCAUGUGGUCAUGUGGUCAUGUGGCUUACCUAGCUAUAAGGAAUCUUGGGAAAUGUCUC
ensembl:lncRNA